UAAUUUAUUGUUGAGUAACUGAUAGCUUAGCUCACUACACUGGACAAGUAGCUUGCCCAACACUGAUUAGCCCAACCAUGCGCUACUUAAGGAGCUCUACAGCAAGAAGCUCGGCAGGUUCCACUGGUUGUCCCUCGUCUGAGCACUGGGGUCUACCGACCAUCAGAAUGUAUAAGCUAAAUGAUGUAUGGACAUUACAUGUGCUCGCAGAGGUAUUUUCCAGAAUCGGUGGGCUGUGCCGCAGGUACAGUGGGUGAGGAGUUCAUACCUGAGCAACAGGAGGGGUUUAUUUUCAUAGUACCUGCCAAGACCAGUGUGUGUGUUCAUGAGUGUGAUAUAACCGAACAUCUGCUCACUGCUUGUCAAGUGCUGAGGCACUGUCCUUUGUUCGAGCUGAUCUAUCAAACAUGGCUAUCAGGUGUAACUGUGCUUAACUAUAAACUCACCAGCCUAAGCACUGUAAAAGCCAACCAAGCCAGGUGUCAACAGAGGAAGACAGAACGUCAGGGCACUGUACUGACAACGUUUCAAAUAAUCUGUACAACUGUGUUGAUAUGGACAUAUGUUCACUGACCUGCCUCAUGCCUCAGUGUCAUGGCAGGGGUAGGUAGAUUUUGGUUUAAAUUUUGAUACAUCCUAACGAGGUACCCAGGGCCUUUGGAAUAAUAACUCUUUUCUACACCAAACCCUUUACUUCACCUGACCAUAGAACACAAUCCCAGGCAAAGUCCCAGUAGCAUUUGGAUUUUAAUGACAGUAUUAAGUAGGUCAAGACAAUAAAAUGGGCCUUUCUAAUGCUGAAGACUGUAGGGCCUUUGAUCUCUGUCACCUUAUCUUUUAUGCCUCAGUGAAACAGGAAGUCAUGGAUUACAGCUUGAAAGUUA